CUUCCAAAAAGUUUUAUUUUUCUUUCUCUCAUGUAUAUAACUGGAGUAACAAGCUGAAGAUCCUUGGAAUCAUGCCCCAAUCCACCCCUUGAAAUGUGUUUUGGUACUGUAGUUGCAACACUGGCCACCAAGCUGUAUACACAUCAAAUUUCACUCUCCCGUCCCCCAACUUCGAAUGAAUCUUUGCCCAAGUUUUAGUAUCUUCAAACAUUUAAAGGGAUUUAUGAAAGUGUA